AGUGAACGCUGGCGGUAGGCCUAACACAUGCAAGUCGAACGGCAGCACAGUAAGAGCUUGCUCUUACGGGUGGCGAGUGGCGGACGGGUGAGGAAUACAUCGGAAUCUACUUUUUCGUGGGGGAUAACGUAGGGAAACUUACGCUAAUACCGCAUACGACCUACGGGUGAAAGCAGGGGAUCUUCGGACCUUGCGCGAUUGAAUGAGUCGAUGUCGGAUUAGCUAGUUGGCGGGGUAAAGGCCCACCAAGGCGACGAUCCGUAGCUGGUCUGAGAGGAUGAUCAGCCACACUGGAACUGAGACACGGUCCAGACUCCUACGGGAGGCAGCAGUGGGGAAUAUUGGACAAAGGGCGCAAGCCUGAUCCAGCCAUACCGCAUGGGUGAAGAAGGCCUUCGGGUUGUAAAGCCCUUUUGUUGGGAAAGAAAAGCAGCAGGUUAAUACCCCGCUGUUCUGACGGUACCCAAAGAAUAAGCACCGGCUAACUUCGUG
rnacentral:rRNA from 1 species